UAACGCGUGAGGAACCUGCCUCAAAGAGGGGGACAACAGUUGGAAACGACUGCUAAUACCGCAUAAGCCCACGACCCGGCAUCGGGUUGAGGGAAAAGGAGCAAUCCGCUUUGAGAUGGCCUCGCGUCCGAUUAGCUAGUUGGUGAGGUAAUGGCCCACCAAGGCAACGAUCGGUAGCCGGACUGAGAGGUUGAACGGCCACAUUGGGACUGAGACACGGCCCAGACUCCUACGGGAGGCAGCAGUGGGGAAUAUUGCACAAUGGGGGAAACCCUGAUGCAGCGACGCCGCGUGGAGGAAGAAGGUCUUCGGAUUGUAAACUCCUGUUGUUGAGGAAGGUAAUGACGGUACUCAACAAGGAAGUGACGGCUAACUACGUGCCAGCAGCCGCGGUAAAACGUAGGUCACAAGCGUUGUCCGGAAUUACUGGGUGUAAAGGGAGCGCAGGCGGGAAGACAANUUGGAAGUGAAAUCUAUGGGCUCAACCCAUAAACUGCUUUCAAAACUGUUUUUCUUGAGUAGUGCAGAGGUAGGCGGAAUUCCCGGUGUAGCGGUGGAAUGCGUAGAUAUCGGGAGGAACACCAGUGGCGAAGGCGGCCUACUGGGCACCAACUGACGCUGAGGCUCGAAAGUGUGGGUAGCAAACAGGAUUAGAUACCCUGGUAGUCCACACCGUAAACGAUGAUUACUAGGUGU
rnacentral:rRNA from 1 species